UACGUAGGUGGCAAGCGUUGUCCGGAUUUACUGGGCGUAAAGAGCGCGCAGGCGGUCGUUCAAGUCGCGUGUGAAAGCCCCCCGGCUCAACUGGGGAGGGUCACGCGAUACUGAUCGACUCGAAGGCAGGAGAGGGAAGUGGAAUUCCCGGUGUAGUGGUGAAAUGCGUAGAUAUCGGGAGGAACACCAGUGGCGAAGGCGGUUCUCUGGGCAUUACCUGACGCUGAGGAGCGAAAGUGUGGGGAGCGAACAGG
rnacentral:rRNA from 1 species